rnacentral:rRNA from 1 species
UACGUAGGGGGGCAAGCGUUGUCCGGAAUCAUUGGGCGUAAAGAGCGCGUAGGCGGUCCGGUAAGUCCGCUGUGAAAGUCAAGGGCUCAACCCUUGAAUGCCGGUGGAUACUGUCGGGCUAGAGUCCGGGAAGAGGCGAGUGGAAUUCCUGGUGUAGCGGUGAAAUGCGCAGAUAUCAGGAGGAACACCAAUGGCGAAGGCAGCUCGCUGGGACGGUACUGACGCUGAGGCGCGAAAGCGUGGGGAGCAACAGGAUAGAACCCCGGU